CCUACGGGUGGCAGCAGUGAGGAAUAUUGGUCAAUGGACGAGAGUCUGAACCAGCCAAGUAGCGUUAAGGAUGACUGCCCUAUGGGUUGUAAACUUCUUUUAUAUGGGAAUAAAAUAGUGCAUGCAUACGCUCUUGUAUGUACCAUAUGAAUAAGGAUCGGCUAACUCCGUGCCAGCAGCCGCGGUAAUACGGAGGAUGCGAGCGUUAUCCGGAUUUAUUGGGUUUAAGGGGAGCGUAGGCGGGUUUUAAAGUCAGCGGUAAAAGCGUGGAGCCAAACGCCAUCCAGCCGUUGAAACUGAUGAUCUUGAGUGGGCGAGAAGUAUGCGGAAUGCGUGGUGUAGCGGUGAAAUGCAUAGAUAUCACGCAGAACUCCGAUUGCGAAGGCAGCAUACCGGCGCCCGACUGACGCUGAAGCACGAAAGCGUGGGUAUCGAACAGGAUUAGAUACCCGUGUAGUC
rnacentral:rRNA from 1 species